AGCCACAUCACAUUGAAACACCAUUUCCCGUAUGAUCACUGAAGUUAAACAACAUUGAGCCUGGUCAGUACAUAGAUGGGUGACCGCUUGGGAAUACCAGAUGUUGUAA